UACGUAGGGUGCGAGCGUUAAUCGGAAUUACUGGGCGUAAAGCGUGCGCAGGCGGUUAUAUAAGACAGUUGUGAAAUCCCCGGGCUCAACCUGGGAAUUGCAUCUGUGACUGUAUAGCUAGAGUACGGUAGAGGGGGAUGGAAUUCCGCGUGUAGCAGUGAAAUGCGUAGAUAUGCGGAGGAACACCGGUGGCGAAGGCGGCUCUCUGGACCGAGACUGACGCUGAGGCGCGAAAGCGUGGGGAGCAAACAGG
rnacentral:rRNA from 1 species